rnacentral:misc_RNA from 1 species
AUUCAGCUGCGCCUGUGGCGUAAAUAUCCAAUAUCACAGUUGCAAGCAAUUUGUAAUCUACACCUAUGAGGGCUUCGCAUGUACGUACCACCUAUUACAGCGUGAGCAGAGGGCGAACAUGGUUGGUGUUGUUUUUAGUUGAUGGAAAGCAUGUAACCAAGCAGAGAACAUUUGCAGCCACAAUUACCACUUAGCCUGUGUCUAAUCUAGCAUAGCCAGUCGGUGAGUAUCGAAAUACAACAUAUUGCUCAAGACACAUCUCAACCCUCUCCAAAAGGUUAAAAAAUUUCGAUAAACAUUAUGCAGAGUUCUUGACGAACCAUAUUCUUUUAUUAUUACCGUCAUUUUUUCUUUAGCAUGACGAAUGAAUUUCUAAGCCCCAAAAGUUCUA